rnacentral:rRNA from 1 species
UACAGAGGGUGCAAGCGUUGUUCGGAAUUACUGGGCGUAAAGGGCGCGUAGGCGGUGCUCUAAGUUAGAUGUGAAAACUCUGGGCUCAACCCAGAGCCUGCAUCUAAAACUGGAGUGCUAGAGUUCUGGAGGGGGUAGCGGAAUUCCUGGUGUAGCGGUGAAAUGCGUAGAUAUCAGGAGGAACACCGGUGGCGAAGGCGGCUACCUGGACAGAAACUGACGCUGAGGCGCGAAAGCUAGGGGAGCAAACAGG